AGCGAACGCUGGCGGCAGGCUUAACACAUGCAAGUCGAGCGCCCCGCCAGGGGAGCGGCAGACGGGAGAGUAACACGUGGGAACAUACCUUUUGGUUCGGAACAACUGAGGGAAACUUCAGCUAAUACCGGAUAAGCCCUUACGGGGAAAGAUUUAUCGCCGAAAGAUUGGCCCGCGCCUGAUUAGCUAGUUGGUGAGGUAACGGCUCACCAAGGCGACGAUCAGUAGCUGGUCUGAGAGGAUGAUCAGCCUCACUGGGACUGAGACACGGCCCAGACUCCUACGGGAGGCAGCAGUGGGGAAUAUUGGACAAUGGGGGCAACCCUGAUCCAGCCAUGCCGCGUGAGUGAUGAAGGCCUUAGGGUUGUAAAGCUCUUUUGCCCGGGAAGAUAAUGACGGUACCGGGAGAAUAAGCCCCGGCUAACUUCGUG
rnacentral:rRNA from 1 species